CAGCAGCCGCGGUAAUACAGAUGGUGCGAGCGUUAAUCGGAUUUACUGGGCGUAAAGCGUGCGUAGGCGGCUUCUUAAGUCGGAUGUGAAAUCCCUGAGCUUAACUUAGGAAUUGCAUUCGAUACUGGGAAGCUAGAGUAUGGGAGAGGAUGGUAGAAUUCCAGGUGUAGCGGUGAAAUGCGUAGAGAUCUGGAGGAAUACCGAUGGCGAAGGCAGCCAUCUGGCCUAAUACUGACGCUGAGGUACGAAAGCAUGGGGAGCAAACAGGAUUAGAUACCCGAGUAGUCCCUGUCUCUUAUAC
rnacentral:rRNA from 1 species